GAUGAACGCUGGCGGCGUGCCUAAUACAUGCAAGUCGAGCGAACGGACGAGAAGCUUGCUUCUCUGAUGUUAGCGGCGGACGGGUGAGUAACACGUGGAUAACCUACCUAUAAGACUGGGAUAACUUCGGGAAACCGGAGCUAAUACCGGAUAAUAUUUUGAACCGCAUGGUUCAAAAGUGAAAGACGGUCUUGCUGUCACUUAUAGAUGGAUCCGCGCUGCAUUAGCUAGUUGGUAAGGUAACGGCUUACCAAGGCAACGAUGCAUAGCCGACCUGAGAGGGUGAUCGGCCACACUGGAACUGAGACACGGUCCAGACUCCUACGGGAGGCAGCAGUAGGGAAUCUUCCGCAAUGGGCGAAAGCCUGACGGAGCAACGCCGCGUGAGUGAUGAAGGUCUUCGGAUCGUAAAACUCUGUUAUUAGGGAAGAACAUAUGUGUAAGUAACUGUGCACAUCUUGACGGUACCUAAUCAGAAAGCCACGGCUAACUACGUGCCAGCAGCCGCGGUAAUACGUAGGUGGCAAGCGUUAUCCGGAAUUAUUGGGCGUAAAGCGCGCGUAGGCGGUUUUUUAAGUCUGAUGUGAAAGCCCACGGCUCAACCGUGGAGGGUCAUUGGAAACUGGAAAACUUGAGUGCAGAAGAGGAAAGUGGAAUUCCAUGUGUAGCGGUGAAAUGCGCAGAGAUAUGGAGGAACACCAGUGGCGAAGGCGACUUUCUGGUCUGUAACUGACGCUGAUGUGCGAAAGCGUGGGGAUCAAACAGGAUUAGAUACCCUGGUAGUCCACGCCGUAAACGAUGUGUGCUAAGUGUUAGGGGGUUUCCGCCCCUUAGUGCUGCAGCUAACGCAUUAAGCACUCCGCCUGGGGAGUACGACCGCAAGGUUGAAACUCAAAGGAAUUGACGGGGACCCGCACAAGCGGUGGAGCAUGUGGUUUAAUUCGAAGCAACGCGAAGAACCUUACCAAAUCUUGACAUCCUUUGACAACUCUAGAGAUAGAGCCUUCCCCUUCGGGGGACAAAGUGACAGGUGGUGCAUGGUUGUCGUCAGCUCGUGUCGUGAGAUGUUGGGUUAAGUCCCGCAACGAGCGCAACCCUUAAGCUUAGUUGCCAUCAUUAAGUUGGGCACUCUAAGUUGGCUGCCGGUGACAAACCGGAGGAAGGUGGGGAUGACGUCAAAUCAUCAUGCCCCUUAUGAUUUGGGCUACACACGUGCUACAAUGGACAAUACAAAGGGCAGCGAAACCGCGAGGUCAAGCAAAUCCCAUAAAGUUGUUCUCAGGUCGGAUUGUAGUCUGCAACUCGACUACAUGAAGCUGGAAUCGCUAGUAAUCGUAGAUCAGCAUGCUACGGUGAAUACGUUCCCGGGUCU
rnacentral:rRNA from 1 species